GUAGUCUCGCACAGAUGCAUAUCAAUAAGCGGAGGAAAAGAAACUAACAAGGAUUCCCCUAGUAACGGCGAGUGAAGCGGGAAGAGCUCAAAUUUGAAAUCUUAAAGGGUUUCCCUUUACGAAUUGUAGUUUAAAGAAGUGUUUUCUGUUGAGGUUUUGGUAAAAGUUCUUUGGAAUAGGACAUCAUAGAGGGUGAGAAUCCCGUAUUUGACCUUUACUUUCAACUUUGUGAUACACUUUCAAAGAGUCGGAUUGUUUGGGAAUGCAGUCCAAAAUGGGUGGUAAAUUUCAUCUAAAGCUAAAUAUUGGCGAGAGACCGAUAGCGAACAAGUACCGUGAGGGAAAGAUGAAAAGAACUUUGAAAAGAGAGUUAAACAGUACGUGAAAUUGUCAAAAGGGAAGCGUUUGACACCAGUGUUGUUUUUCUGAAAAUCAAUUAAAGAACUGUUUAUGCUAAGCUGUUUAGACUUUAUCAGCUAACUGUUUAGUUUUGAGCUUUUCUUUAAUGCACUUUUCAGUUAACAAGUCAACAUCAAUUUCUUUUGCUGUAAAAAAGCUUGAGGAAGGUGGCUUGAGAUUCGUCUUAAGUGUUUAUAGCCUCUUGCCUAUGCAGUCGGAGAGAUUGAGGUCUGCAGCGUAGAUCCUUCGGGGCUAAAUGCAUUUGUGCUAAGUUAUAGCAUUUUAUAGACAACUUGUUGACUAUGAUUUGUCUUGUAGCUUACUCGCUUAUGUUAUUUUACCUACGCUUAGGAUGUUGAUAUCGCGCUCUCACUG
rnacentral:rRNA from 1 species